rnacentral:misc_RNA from 1 species
GGCUGAAUGUUAUUGUAUCGCCUGCUUGUAAUUGCAUAGACUGUAUACAUGGGGUUACACCCUCCAAGACAUACAUCCUACUGUUGUUAUUGGGCCAAAAUCUGAACUGAAAUGUCCAUUCUCUCCCCUUAAAAUCUUGAAUCCUUAAAGGAACGCCUUCAGAUUGAGAAAUAGGAGGAAAAUAUGCUUCAGCACAUGCUUUUGGGAGAACUAAUCGACCAAUC